rnacentral:rRNA from 1 species
GCCGCGGUAAUUCCAGCUCCAAUAGCGUAUACUAAAGUUGUUGCGGUUAAAAAGCUCGUAGUUGGAUCUUGGAAUGUGUUCAAGCGGGUCAGCUUCUGGCUGUGCGCUGCUUGACGUGUUCUUCUAUUUGGUUUUGGUGCGGUGCGCUUAACUGCGUGUCGCUCCCGGCCGAAACGUUUACCUUGAAAAAAUUAGAGUGUUCAAAGCAGACCUGUUUGAGUCUGAAUAUUCGUGCAUGGAAUAAUGAAAUAUGAAUUCGGUUCUAUUUUGUUGGUUUUCGGAACUCGAGUUAAUGAUCAAGAGGGACAGACGGGGGCAUUCGUACUCUGCCGUUAGAGGUGAAAUUCUUGGAUCGGCGGAAGACGCGCAACUGCGAAAGCAUUUGCCAAGAAUGUUUUCUUUAAUCAAGAACGAUAGUCGGAGGUUCGAAGACGAUCAGAUACCGUCCUAGUUUCGACUGUAAACUAUGCCAGCUAACGAUCAGACAGAGUUCUCUACGACUUGUCUGGCAGUUUCCGGGAAACCAAAGCGUUUGGGUUCCGGGGGAAGUAUGGUUGCAAAGCUGAAACUUAAAGGAAUUGACGGAAGGGCACCACCAGGAGUGGAGCCUGCGGCUUAAUUUGACUCAACACGGGGAAACUCACCCGGCCCGGACACAGUGAGGAUUGACAGAUUGAGAGUUCUUUCUUGAUUCUGUGGGUGGUGGUGCAUGGCCGUUCUUAGUUGGUGGAGCGAUUUGUCUGGUUAAUUCCGAUAACGAACGAGACUCUGGCAUGUUAAAUAGUCGCGGAAGUGCGUAUGCACUUGCCGAAUUGACUUCUUAGAGGGACUAGUGAUUUUAAUUCACACGAGAUUGGAGCAAUAACAGGUCUGUGAUGC